rnacentral:rRNA from 1 species
AUUGAACGCUGGCGGAAUGCUUUACACAUGCAAGUCGAACGGUAGAGGGGGCAACCCCUCGAGAGUGGCGAACGGGUGAGUAAUAUAUCGGAACGUGCCCAGUCGGGGGGGAUAACGUAGCGAAAGUUACGCUAAUACCGCAUACGAUCUAAGGAUGAAAGCGGGGGAUCGCAAGACCUCGCGCGAUUGGAGCGGCCGAUAUCAGAUUAGGUAGUUGGUGGGGUAAAGGCUCACCAAGCCAACGAUCUGUAGCUGGUCUGAGAGGACGACCAGCCACACUGGAACUGAGACACGGUCCAGACUCCUACGGGAGGCAGCAGUGGGGAAUUUUGGACAAUGGACGCAAGUCUGAUCCAGCCAUUCCGCGUGCAGGAUGAAGGCCCUCGGGUUGUAAACUGCUUUUGUACGGAACGAAAAGGUCUCUCUUAACACGGGGGACUCAUGACGGUACCGUAAGAAUAAGCACCGGCUAACUACGUGCCAGCCGCCGCAGUAAAAC